AUACAGAGGGUGCGAGCGUUAAUCGGAAUUACUGGGCGCAAAGCGCGCGUAGGCGGCUUCGCAAGUCGGAUGUGAAAUCCCCGGGCUCAACCUGGGAACUGCAUUCGAGACUGCGUUGCUAGAGUAUGGGAGAGGGAAGUGGAAUUUCCGGUGUAGCGGUGAAAUGCGUAGAUAUCGGAAGGAACAUCAGUGGCGAAAGCGACUUCCUGGACCAAUACUGACGCUCAUGUGCGAAAGCGUGGGGAGC
rnacentral:rRNA from 1 species